GCACAAAUGCUUAACAUUUGUCAGUCCUUGGAGUCGAUGCAACAUUGAAUGUUGGAAAAUACUUUUUAACGUUAACAACAUACAGACAUUUAAUGCUUGAAACAAGUAAGAAGACCAAUCCUGUUUUCAUUGGACCAGCUUUGAUUCACCAAAGGAGACUCUUCGAUUCAUACUUCACAUUGCUGUCAAAUAUUGUUAAGUAUAAUCCAAAAAUUCAGGGAGUGCUGGUUUAUGGCAAUGAUGGAGAGAGAAAAUUUUCAGAUUCAAUUGACUCUUGUUUUACAACUUCAAAACACCUUCUUUGCGAUAUACAUAUGAAGGGCAACAUAAAAAGGAAACUCAGUGACCAGAACAUUAAAGGACACAUAGGUAAAGAAUACAUAAUGGAAAAUAGAUUCAUUCUGAAAGGGUACCGGGUCUUGUGGGCUGUUGCAACGCAGAGGUAUUCGACAAAAAAUUGGAAUUUAAAAAGGCUGUAAAGGUUGACCGACAUAUCAAUGGUGAUUAAUUUCUAUACUGACUAUUUUGUCAUGUACAAAGCGGAUCUGAUAAAAAAAAAAAUGGAUGACGGCGGAUGUGAGGACAAUAUGUGGCUUUGGGUACCCUCCUUCGAUGUACAACCAAAAUGCAAACGAAUGUGCAAAUAGCGUUAUUAAGCGGGACAUCAAAUUAGAAUCAAAAUUAGUGUACAAGGUUGUGUAACACACCUCCAAAAUAUUGUACAACGCCAGUAUGAUGAGGCCAGGCUGGCAGUGUUAGGAAGAAGAGAAUACUUAAUUUCUGAACCAUAUAGAGAACACCAAGUUAAUUAAGAAAAAUACUAUCAAAUGACAAAAUAGCAAAAAAUCAGACAUGACAGCAGAUGUUUUAAUAGUCCAGUUAAAAUUCAGCAAGAGAAAAUGUUAGAUUAUGAUCAAUGUAAUCUCUCUGUUUCCCCUGAAAGCUCUCAUAUUUCCUCAGUAUCACGGACUCUUCGCCUGGCCUCAAAAUUGGCCUGGCCUCACUUUUGGCCUAAAAUUUGGCAUAGCCCCAAAUUUUGGCCUGGCCUCAAAUUUUGGCCUGGUCCCUUAUUUGGCCUCUUCAAUAAAUUUU
rnacentral:sRNA from 1 species